GACGAACGCUGGCGGCGUGCUUAACACAUGCAAGUCGAACGGAAAGGCCCAGCUUGCUGGGUGCUCGAGUGGCGAACGGGUGAGUAACACGUGGGUGAUCUGCCUCUAACUUCGGGAUAAGCUUGGGAAACUGGGUCUAAUACCGGAUAGGACAAUCGUUUAGUGUCGGUUGUGGAAAGUUUUUUCGGUUAGGGAUGAGCCCGCGGCCUAUCAGCUUGUUGGUGGGGUAAUGGCCUACCAAGGCGUCGACGGGUAGCCGGCCUGAGAGGGUGGACGGCCACAUUGGGACUGAGAUACGGCCCAGACUCCUACGGGAGGCAGCGGUGGGGAAUAUUGCACAAUGGGCGCGAGCCUGAUGCAGCGACGCCGCGUGGGGGAUGACGGCCUUCGGGUUGUAAACCUCUUUCGACGGGGACGAAGCUUUGGUGACGGUACCUGUAGAAGAAGCACCGGCUAACUACGUG
rnacentral:rRNA from 1 species